CAUUUUUCAUUGAUUCACAAGAUAUUUCAGUAACCAACUCAGUCACAUAUGCCUCCUUAUCAAAAAUCCCCCCGCACUUGAACUCAACAAUGUCCAAUAACUCAGCCUAAUUCACCUCACAACUGUAGAACAAUGAAUAAACAUGGUUUUAUGGGUCCAAGGUGCUAAUAAGCUAAAAAUUCAUAAUAAAAGUUAAAAAAUAGGCUAAAAAAUGGGCACAAGGGAAAAUUGCCCAAGUUAGGUUAUAUUUGGCAAAUGACUCAAUUCAAAAAGGCCUAUAUAACAUCAAGAAUGCACAUUUAAUCUAGAUAUACAAAACAAUAACAAAAAUAAAAUCUGAUUAUAAGAACCUAGAAAUACAAAAUUUUUUAACAACAAAACAACAAAAUAAGCUAAGCAUGGAAUAAAAGUUGUAAUCUAUCUAAACUAAUUCAUUUACAAGUUUAAAACAGAAAACUGAGAGUAGAAUUUAAGGUAACUAUUGAAAACAAUGAAAAAUUCAAAAUACCACCUAUAGACUAAAAUUUGUCCAGUUUACAACCCAAGAAGUUAAACUAUUAUACUAGUUAACAACUAGAACGAACCUAUAAAUUAAAAUAGACCUAACACUACUAAAAUCAACCAAAAACAACCACUAAGCAUGUCUUAAUUCAUCAAUCAAAACCAAAUAUGCAAGUAUUUACGAAAGCAAAACAGUCACUUAGAAUUUAACUAUGCACCUAGAAUCAUCGUAGUAAAACAGAACAAACAACAUAAGACUAGCGAAUAUAGUAAUUGCAAAAUUAUUUACUCAACUAUUGUUACAGAACAGAAUGAUCAAAGUAGUGUAUAUGAAAAACAUGUAAAAGUUAACCUUCCAGGAAGUUUGAAUGAUUUUGCUACUUGUUGCAGUUCAAAUUUCAACAAUCAAUAUCCAUUUUAAUUUAUUUUUUGACAAGUUACCAUUGUUUUUAUCAACAAUGAAUAUUUGAUUUUAUCUUUUGUUAAUAUUUUCUUAAAAGCAAUCCAUCCUUAGGUUCUUAGAGGUUUAUGCUAUACUAUAUCGAUGUUAAUUAUUGAAGAUUAGCAUAAAGAUAGUUAACAUAAAGAUAUUCAAAUGGGUAGGGAAUGAUUUAAACAUUGUGAUCUAAUAUAUAUGUAACUUCUUUAAAUACACAGAUCAUGACUUCAUUUCCUUCAAGUCAUGGUUGGAUGUAUGAUAGGGUGUAUAAAGGUAGAAGCGGUUUGAAACCUACUUUCAUAAUUGGGGUUGAAGAGUUUGUUGAAAUAGCCUGUCAAUGAAAGGCAACUUAAAUGCCCAUGCAUUAAAUGUGAGUGUACAAGGAUUUAUGAUGUUCAAACAAUCAAGCUCCACCUCUACAAGCAUGGCUUUAUGUCUGACUACUUUAUUUGGAUUGAUCACGAGGAAGCCAUAGAGAAUAUUUCCCAUCAUGUUGACGAUGGUUCAGGAAGUCGUAUACAUGUGACUGAAGGACAAACAUUUAACUCGAUGCAUGACAUGUUGUGUGAUGCUCUUAGACAACAUGGGUCAUUUUAAAUACCAGAAAUAAACUUCGAAAAGCCUCCGAAUGAAGCAACUCAACGAUUUUAUAAUCUGUUAGUCAAGUCAAAUGAACCAUUAUUUGAAGGAUCAUUAGAGCCUAAAUUAUCAAUCUGUGGUAGACACUUAGCAUGCAAGUCGAAUUGGAAUGUCUAGAUUUUAUAGCAAAUAUGCUUCAAGAUGUAACAUCGAUGAAUAAAGCUUUACCUAAAAUUUACUAUGAUGCUAAACGAUUAGUAUCAAAGCUUGGAUUGACUGCUAUAAGGAUUGAUUGUUGUAUACAAGGUUGCAUGUUGUUUUACGACAAUGAAUAUGGGAAAAAUGAUGGAGCACUUAUACGUUGCAAAUUUUGUGAUAUGCCAAGGUAUCAUGAUCGAAACACAAGAGCAAACACAAAAGAGCUUGUUCCAGUGAAAAGAAUGUUCUAUUUACCUAUAAUUCCAAGGUUGCAGAGACUGUUUGCAUCAAUGGAAACUACUAGUCAAAUGUAUUGGCAUCAUGAAAAUAGAAGUAGCUCAGGCGUGUUACAUCAUCCCUCAGACGGUGAAGCUUGGAAGCAUUUUUAUCGGGUACAACCAGACUUUGUAGUUGAUCUACACAAUGUACGUUUGGGUUUAUGCUCUGAUGGUUUUAACCCAUUCAUUCAAUCAACAAUCCCAUAUUCCUGGUUGUCAAUAAUUGUCACCCCAUACAAUCUUCCUCCUGAAAUGUGCAUGACAAAGCCAUUUAUGUUUUUAAGUUGUCUAAUACCUGGUCCACGCAAUCCAAACGCAGGAAUUGAUGUGUAUCUCGAACCUUUGGUGGACGAUCUAAAGAAGUUGUGGAUUGGUGUAGAAACAUAUGAUAUUUCAAGAAAGAAGAACUUUAUCAUGAGAGCUAGUUAAUGUGGACUAUAAAUGAUUUCCCUACAUAUGGGAUGUUGUCUGGCUAGGGUACUCAAGGUAAAUUGGCAUGUCCACAUUGUAUGGAGCAUUCAAAAGCCUUUACAUUAGAAAAUGGAGGGAAAAAUUGUUGCUUUGACUCACAUCGUAGAUUUUUACCUAGUGAUCAUGCCUUUAGAAAGAAUAAAAAAGCCUUCUUAAGAGCGAAAGUUGAAACUGAUGGCCCACCAACUACAAUGACACUUGACUUGGUUUGGGAAAGAGUAAGGGAUUCACCAAUGGCCACAGAAAAUCCUCGUUUGUUGAAAUUAUGAGGAUAUGGCGAGGUUCAUAAUUGGAGGAAAAAAUGUAUAUUUUGGAAUCUUCCUUACUGGAAAGAUAAUCUCUUACGACACAACCUAGAUGUCAUGCACAUAGAAAAAAAUUUCUUUGACAAUAUAUUGAACACUGUCAUGAAUGUUAGUGGUAAAACAAAAGACAAUAAGAAAGCAAGGAUAGAUCUCGCUUUGUAUUGUUGUCACCCUGACUUAGAGAUGAAACUGCUAGCUAAUGGAAAAAUGUUUAAGCCUAAAGCCAAUUACUCUUUAACUAUAGAGGAAGCAAAAUUAGUUUGUCGUUGGAUAAAAGAACUCAGGGUGCCUGAUGGUUAUUCAUCAAACUUGGCAAGAUGUGCUGAUGUUGAAAAGGGAAGGAUACAUGGGAUGAAAAGUCAUGAUUGUCAUGUGUUCAUGGAAUGCUUACUUUAUAUUGCAUUUAAUACUUUUCCAACACAUGUUUUAAAUCCCCUAACCGAAUAAGUCAUUUCUUUAAAGACUUAUGCUGUACGACAUUGAGGUAUGACGAUUUGGUUACAAUGGAAGAAAACAUUCCACUAAUUCUUUGCAAGUUAGAGAGAGUAUUUCCCCCUGCAUUCUUUGAUUCAAUGGAACAUCUCCCAAUUCAUCUUGCAUAUAAAGCUAGACUUGGUGGUCCAGUGCAAUAUAGGUGGAUGUAUCCUUUUGAAAGAUUUAUGGGAGAUUCUAAGCGAUCAAUCAAAAAUAGGGCAAGGGUUGAAGAAUUGAUAUGUGCAUCUUACAUACACCGAGAAACAACUUAUUUUUGUUCCCACAAUUUCAAAGGUUAUAUGUUGUCAUUGCGAAGUAGUAGAAAUGAAAUGGGAGUUGAAACCAACCAACCAUCAUUGUCCAUCUUCAACCAACCAACUCGUCCUUCUGGCAAGCCAUCAAUUCAUUGGUUAACACAAAGAGAAUGGGAUUCAGUCCACGUUCAUAUGUUGAUCAAUUCCCAAGAAGUGAAACCAUACCUCGAGUCAUUCCUUCAAUCUCAGGAAAUACUUGACUCAGGAAACACAGAUGCAUGAAGUCAAGCUAAAAAGAUAAUAAAUAGUGGGGUUUAUGUAAAAGGGAUUACAGACGGAGGUGAAGAUGAUUUCUAUGGGAUCAUUAAACACAUAUACGAGAUAGAGUACAAUACUUCAAGCACUCCCAAGAAAGUAAUUGUAUUUUAUUGUGACUGAUUUGAUCCAUCACGAAGAGGUACAAGAGUGGACUUUAAAUACCAUGUUGCUGAUAUUCGGAUGGAUAAAAGAUAUGUGUUGUAUGAUCCGUUCAUAAUUGCUCACAAUGUAAGAAAAGUAUACUAUGUCUCAUAUCCACCAUCUCGAAUAGAUAAAUGUGGAUGGUGUGUUGUAAUCAAGACAAAACCUAGAGGUCGCAUAGAAGCUACUGAUGUAGAUAAUGAUAUGCCUUACCAAGAAGACCAAGUUUCACACGUCAAUGAAAUCAUAGAAGUUGAACCUAUUUUAGGCUUCCAAGAUUCAGAAAAUGGUGUUGAAGUAGAAGAUGAAGCCAUAGAAGAAGACACAGAAGAAGAGGAAAUUCAAGACUUUGAUUUGGAAGAAUAAGAUGAUGAAGGGGAAUUUGAUGAUCACGAGUCAGAAGAAGACAAUGAAGAAAAGGAAUUGGAUGAUGAUAGUUCUGAAUAGGCAUACAUUGAUUUGUACCAAUUUCUGUUUGGACAAUUUUUUGUUAGAUUUGCCUUUUGUGUGUUAAACUUAUGACUUUUAUUAAGUACUUUUAGAUGAGGGUGGCAAAAUGAUACAUUGUACUUGUUUUUUUCUAAGAAGAUUGAUACAAGACUUCUCUCACUCUUUUAUCAUCAAAUUGAUACACUCCAUAUCCUGAUUUAACUUUAGCAGUAUCCCAUCAAUUAAAAGGAAAAAGAGACUUCUUUAGUAAGGUUCAAUCAAUUGGAUAAUUAGAUAUAUUCAGCAUGUUUAAAAAUAUGAAUAUAGUAAAAUCAUGCUCAAGUCAAUAUACUAGCAAAACACUCGCAUUAUAAAUAGAAUAUAAAGAACUAAUUCAUUGCCAACUUGCAACUAGUUACCAAAUAUAGGAACUGAUAGAGGACCUGGGGGAGUGGAAGAGUAGGUUUUAGAAGUUAAGAAAAUUUUGCAUAUGAUUAGAAAAAAAAAGGGUCGUGGCAAUAGGAAUGGAAACACUAAAUGGUGAUCCGACAUUGGCAACGCUUUGUGAACCAGUGGAAAGGGCAAACUCAAACCAUUCAUUCACAACUGGACUUGCUCACAGUAUGGGACUUAGGUUGAGAAGAUUGAUUUGGUUGGACAUAUCCAAACUCUACUGCUGAAAACAAAGACAAAAAAAUCAAAUUAUAGAGCUGAUGAUAGUGGUGGCAGUUAGAAGAAGCUUCACCUUCAAAGUCAAUACAAGCAAUCCAAAGAUUUUACCCAAGUAGAGUUGCCUCCAAGGCAAUCACAAAGACAAUUAAGCAACAAUAUUUUGACCGAUGGUUGACUUGGGGUGCAAUGUUGGAUGAAGAGAAGGAGGUCUUCUUUCAAAGGUUCAAGAGAAAGGUUACUUGGAGACCUGAACAUGAGGAGAAGAUUAGAAAGAUUUUCAACACAAAGCCCUCUCAUAGACUUUCUGAAAUCUUCAUGGAAGCAAGAAAAACUGGGAAAAAACCUUAUUGGAUGUUUGAUAGAGUAUGGAACAGUUUGCUUGUUCAGUGGAACCAACCCGAGUUUCGAUCAAAGAGUGCUCGUAAUCAAAAGAAUCGAGAAUCUGAGAAGGGUGGAUGUUUGCACACAGGUGGCUCAAUCACCAUCCAUGAGCAUGCCCUUCGCAUGGCAAAAUAGUUGGGUCGUCCUGUACAUUUUGAUGACCUUUUCCACCAUACUCAUGUUCGAAAGAAUACCGGUGAUUUUGUAGAUCACAGAUCUAAACAAACAUAUGAGGAAUUUCAAAUUGUAUUUUCCCAAGCAAGAUCUGAGGCUGCUACUUGUGGUGAAGAAGAAGAAAUAUCUUUAUUGGACCCUAAUGAGGAAGAGAAGUUAAGGAAAAAUUUUGGUUACCUGCUACUGGUGGCAAAAAUCCUAAGGGACGGUAUAUGGGGUUGGAAAACUGAAUGAAAAUCAUCUUUGCGGGGAAGCCUUCACACAACAACCAUCUAGUUCUACAAUUAUGGAUUCACAAAAGAUUCUAAGGUUGGAAGAAGAAAUUUGUCAAUCUACGGAGGAGUUUCGUCAAUCUAGGGAGGAGAAUCAACGACUGUAGAGAAAAUUAGAAUCCCUAGUAACUGUUGUUCUCCCUCUUCUUCCUCCCGCUGCCAAACCAUUUUGCAAGACGUCAAUGAACAACCACAAAAUGAGGACCAAAACCAAGAUGAUGCUCAGGAGAGGGACCACCAUCAUGGACAAAACUCUUCUCAUUAUGCAGAUUAUUAGUUAGGUUUGUAAUUGUAGGACUUGUUGAACUAGGGGUAAAAUUAGUUAGUUUUUAAAUUGUAGGACUUGACCUAUGUAGAUUAUUUGUUAGUUUCUUAAUCUGUGUUAUCUACUUUAUUUUAUAUUUAUUGUUUUUAAUGUUUUGAUGUGAUGAUAUGAAUGAUGUUAAACCUUUGGAAAAUUAUGUUGUUAUACAUGAAUGUGUUAUUUGAAUGU